GCUGGCGGCAGGCCUAACACAUGCAAGUCGAGCGGCCGUAGCAAUACGGCAGCGGCAGACGGGAGAGUAACACGUGGGAACGCGCCCUUCGGUUCGGAAUAACUCAGGGAAACUUGAGCUAAUACCGGAUACGCCCUUACGGGGAAAGAUUCAUCGCCGAAGGAACGGCCCGCGUCCGAUUAGCUAGUUGGUGAGGUAAUGGCUCACCAAGGCAACGAUCGGUAGCUGGUCUAAGAGGAUGAUCAGCCUCACUGGGACUGAGACACGGCCCAGACUCCUACGGGAGGCAGCAGUGGGGAAUAUUGGACAAUGGGCGCAAGCCUGAUCCAGCCAUGCCGCGUGGGUGAUGAAGGCCCUAGGGUUGUAAAGCCCUUUCGGCGGGGAAGAUAAUGACGGUACCCGCAGAAGAAGCCCCGGCUAACUUCGUGCCAGCAGCCGCGGUAAUACGAAGGGGGCUAGCGUUGCUCGGAAUUACUGGGCGUAAAGCGCACGUAGGCGGCUUUCUAAGUCGGGGGUGAAAUCCUGGAGCUCAACUCCAGAACUGCCUUCGAUACUGGAGAGCUUGAGUCCGGGAGAGGUGA
rnacentral:rRNA from 1 species